CAGCAGCCGCGGUAAUACGGAGGGGGCUAGCGUUGUUCGGAAUUACUGGGCGUAAAGCGCGCGUAGGCGGCUUGGUAAGUUAGAGGUGAAAGCCUGGAGCUCAACUCCAGAAUUGCCUUUAAGACUGCCGAGCUAGCAGGUGAGAGAGGUAAGUGGAAUUCCGAGUGUAGAGGUGAAAUUCGUAGAUAUUCGGAAGAACACCAGUGGCGAAGGCGGCUUACUGGCUCAUACUGGACGCUGAGGUGCGAAAGCGUGGGGAGCAAACAGGAUUAGAUACCCGAGUAGUCCCUGUCUCUUAUAC
rnacentral:rRNA from 1 species